rnacentral:rRNA from 1 species
CCUACGGGUGGCAGCAGUGGGGGAUAUUGCCCAAUGGGGGCAACCCUGAUCCAGCGACGCCGCGUGGGGGAAGAAGCUUCUCGGCGCGUAAAGCUCUGUCAGCAGGGAAGAAAAUGACGGUACCUUAAUAAGAAUCCCCGGCUAACUACGUGCCAGCAGCCGCGGUAAUACGUAGGGGGCAAGCGUUAUCCGGAUUUACUGGGGGAAACGGGAGCGCAGGCGGCGAUGCAAGCCAGGAGUGAACGCCCGGGGCCCAACCCCGGGACUGCAUUGGAAACUGGCUGGCUGGAGUGGCGGAGGGGCAGGGGGAAGUCCGGGUGUAGCGGUGAAAUGCGUAGAGAUCAGGAGGAACACCAGUGGCGAAGGCGGCCUGCUGGACUGCAACUGACGUUGAGGCCCGAAAGCGUGGGGAGCAAACAGGAUUAGAUACCCCUGUAGUC